AGCCAGCCUAUCCCGACGGGGAGAAAGGUGGAGUCAUUACCCGCUUGGCUGGCUUUCCCUCAGUAAUG
rnacentral:ncRNA from 1 species